rnacentral:rRNA from 1 species
AUACAGAGGGUGCGAGCGUUAAUCGGAAUUACUGGGCGUAAAGCGCGCGUAGGCGGCUUAUUAAGUCAGAUGUGAAAUCCCCGGGCUCAACCGGGGAACUGCAUCUGAUACUGGUAAGCUAGAGUUUUGGAGAGGGAAGUAGAAUUUCAGGUGUAGCGGUGAAAUGCAUAGAGAUCAGAAGGAAUACCAGUGGCGAAGGCGACUUCCUGGCCAAAAACUGACGCUGAGGUGCGAAAGCGUGGGUAGCAAACGGGAUUAGAAACCCCAGUAGUCC